AACGAACGCUGGCGGCAUGCCUAACACAUGCGAGUCGAACGAGACCUUCGGGUCUAGUGGCGCACGGGUGCGUAACGCGUGGGAACCUGCCCUUAGGUUCGGAAUAACUCCCCGAAAGGGGUGCUAAUACCGGAUAAUGUCUUCGGACCAACGAUUUAUCGCCUUUGGAUGGGCCCGCGUUGGAUUAGCUAGUUGGUAGGGUAAAAGCCUACCAAGGCGACGAUCCCUAGCUGGUCUGAGAGGAUGAUCAGCCACACUGGGACUGAGACACGGCCCAGACUGCUACGGGAGGCAGCAGUGGGGAAUAUUGGACAGUGGGCGAAAGCCUGAUCCAGCAAUGCCGCGUGAGUGAUGAAGGCCUUAGGGUUGUAAAGCUCUUUUGACCGGGAUGAUAAUGACAGUACCGGGAGAAUAAGCUCCGGCUAACUCCGUG
rnacentral:rRNA from 1 species